rnacentral:rRNA from 1 species
ACGGGUGAGUAAUAUAUCGGAACGUGCCCUAGAGUGGGGGAUAACUAGUCGAAAGACUAGCUAAUACCGCAUACGAUCUAAGGAUGAAAGUGGGGGAUCGCAAGACCUCAUGCUCCUGGAGCGGCCGAUAUCUGAUUAGCUAGUUGGUGGGGUAAAAGCCUACCAAGGCGACGAUCAGUAGCUGGUCUGAGAGGACGACCAGCCACACUGGGACUGAGACACGGCCCAGACUCCUACGGGAGGCAGCAGUGGGGAAUUUUGGACAAUGGGGGCAACCCUGAUCCAGCAAUGCCGCGUGAGUGAAGAAGGCCUUCGGGUUGUAAAGCUCUUUUGUCAGGGAAGAAACGGUGGUAGCUAAUAUCUACUACUAAUGACGGUACCUGAAGAAUAAGCACCGGCUAACUACGUGCCAGCAGCCGCGGUAAUACGUAGGGUGCAAGCGUUAAUCGGAAUUACUGGGCGUAAAGCGUGCGCAGGCGGUUGUGUAAGACAGAUGUGAAAUCCCCGGGCUCAACCUGGGAAUUGCAUUUGUGACUGCACGGCUAGAGUGUGUCAGAGGGGGGUAGAAUUCCACGUGUAGC